rnacentral:rRNA from 1 species
UACGUAGGGGGCAAGCGUUGUCCGGAUUUAUUGGGCGUAAAGAGCGUGUAGGCGGCCAGGUAGGUCCGUUGUGAAAACUCGAGGCUCAACCUCGAGACGUCGGCGGAAACCCUCUGGCUAGAGUCCGGAAGAGGAGAGUGGAAUUCCGUGGUGUAGCGGUGAAAUGCGCAGAUAAUCAGGAAGAACACCCGUGGCGAAGGCGGCUCCUCGUGGGACGGUACUGACGCUGAGACGCGAAAGCGUGGGGAGCAAACAGG